rnacentral:lncRNA from 1 species
UCUUGCUCUCUCGCCCAGGCUGGAGUGCAGUGGCGCGAUCUCCGAUGACUGCAACCUCCCUCUCUCGGGAUCAAGCGAUUUGCCUGCCUCACCCUCAGAGUAGCUGAGAUUACAGGCGUGCAGCACCACAUCCGGCUAAUUUUUAGUAGAGACGGGGGUUUCACCAUGUUGGGCACGCUGGUCUCGAACUCCUGACCUCAAAUGAUCCACCCGCCUCGGCCUCCCAAAGUGCUGGGAUUACAGGCGUGAGCCACCGCGCCUGGAUCCUUCUUUCGCUCUUCCCGUCUCUGCGAAUCCCGACCCAUCCUCUACUUUGCCAUGUGUUUAUGGGUUUCCUUCAUUCUUUCCUCUCAGUUUUUGUAAUUCACUCUCAGCCCCUCUCUGUUUCCUGAUCCCUUUGGCCCACACAUUCACAGGAGGGUUUGGAGUAAGACACCUGGAUCCUGGAGGAGCACAUUUUCCAGCGGGUGGAGCUGGGCAGGCAAGAACACCGGGUGUCACAGGACAGGCCCCGGGCACCUCCCCAACGCGGGCGCAGGGGAAGCGGUGACUGCGAAGGGGAGGCCUGGGGAGCAGCAGGGCCCGGCACGAGGAGGAGGGAGGUGGGGGGCGACGGCGCCUUAGGACAGGGUAGGGUCUGCAGGAGCCUAGGACCAGGCGGAGGACGCGGUCUGCGGCGCUGCGCUCCAGGGCCGACGACGGAGAGGCUGGGAGGCGCUCAGGACGGGAAUCCACCUCGCAGACACUCUCUACAGGGCAAGUUCAUCCAACUAUGUGCUUCGAGCUCCAGAGGGGAAUCUCACUUGCCAGGAGGUUACCUCGAGAAACAGCAAUCAAUCUACAACCCAAAGUCCUGCUACAAAACUCUCUCCCACCCGGAGAGUUUCAGCCACUUUUACAAC